UACGUAGGUGACAAGCGUUGUCCGGAUUUACUGGGCGUAAAGAGCGCGCAGGCGGUCGUUCAAGUCGAGUGUGAAAGCCCCCGGCUCAACUGGGGAGGGUCAUUCGAUACUGAUCGACUCGAAGGCAGGAGAGGGUAGUGGAAUUCCCGGUGUAGUGGUGAAAUGCGUAGAUAUCGGGAGGAACACCAGUGGCUAAGGCGACUACCUGGCCUGUUCUUGACGCUGAGGCGCGAAAGCUAGGGGAGCAAACGGG
rnacentral:rRNA from 1 species